UCAAGAUGGAUGCAAUGCGCUUGAAGAUUAGAAAAAUUAAAAAAUAUGCCAUUCAUAUUGAGGCUUGGUAUCAUUAUGUCAUUGGAUCAAUUGUUACCUUGGUUGCGGUUAUGAUCGCAUUUUUUGUUGCAUUAAAAUGUUUUACAUAGUUUUAAUGUAUGGUUUAAUUAGAUGCUCUGGAGAGUUAUAUGUUGUUCAAUGAAAACUAUGUAUGUACUUUGGUUUAAUGUGAUGAUGAACUUCUAUUAAUUUGGUCACUUAUCUAUUUAUGAUGUACGCAGAGAUGAACCGACAAUGAAUGUACGGUAACAGACACACUUCCGAAUACAUUAAAGGCGUGAAUAAUUUUCUCGCAGUGGUUUUGAGUUUUCAUUCAAAGUGCUAAUCAUUCUAUGCUGGUUUUCUGGCGUGUGAUACUUUUCUUUGCUGCCUGAUGAUUGCAUACAAUUUGUUGCAGGUUUUUGAGGUUGCUCCAACACUCCAUAUGGUUGAACUUCGUAAAACUGGAGGGUACACCUUGGAGUUUCAUAGUUUCUACAAGAAUUUCUCAUCAGAACUAAAAGACAUUGUGUGGAAAACUGAAUCCAACACAAUUGCGAAAUAGUCGCGAUGAUUGAUACUUUGCGGAAUGGAACUACCUUGCGGUGCUGUAUCGACGGACCACCCCUUCAGGUGAUACCGCUGGGCGCUGGGUACUGUAUAUUUCUCCGGCACCGCAUCGAUGGUCCAGUUCCGCCAUCUCUUGUUGAAGACAGCGCCUUUUUUUACUGAGCGCGAUUGUACAAUUACAUGUACAACGAGGCCCUCCCGGACAUGCUCCUUGUAAUAUUGCAACGGGGUGCCUAACAGGCAUCCUGAAUGUGCUUUAGUUUGCACCAGGGUUGUGUGCCUUCCUUUAUUUUUGUGUUGGAAGUAUUUAAGAAUCGUAAGAUGAAUAAUGGUAGUUCAGACUUGAGAUUGUAAGGCAA